UACGUAGGGGGCAAGCGUUAUCCGGAUUUACUGGGUGUAAAGGGAGCGUAGACGGUGAAGCAAGUCUGGAGUGAAAUGCGGGGGCUCAACCCCUGAACUGCUUUGGAAACUGUUCCACUGGAGUGCAGGAGAGGUAAGCGGAAUUCCUAGUGUAGCGGUGAAAUGCGUAGAUAUUAGGAGGAACACCGGUGGCGAAGGCGGCUUACUGGACUGUAACUGACGUUGAGGCUCGAAAGCGUGGGGAGCAAACAGG
rnacentral:rRNA from 1 species